AAUAUUGGUCAAUGGAGGCAACUCUGAACCAGCCACGUCGCGCGAAGGAUGACGGCUCUACUGGUUGUAAACUUCUUCUAUACAGGACUAAUGUGAGUCACGUUUGACUUUUCGCAUGUUCUGUUUGAAUAAGGAUCGGCUAACUCCGUGUCAGCAGCCGCGGUAAUACGGAGGAUCCAAGCGUUAUCCGGAUUUAUUGGGUUUAAAGGGUGCGCAGGCGGAAGAUUAAGUCGGCGGUGAAAUUUUGCAGCUCAACUGUAAAAGUGCCAUCGAUACUGGUUUUCUUGAGUGUGGAUGAAGUAGGCGGAAUUUGUGGUGUAGCGGUGAAAUGCAUAGAUAUCACGAGGAACUCCGAUUGCGCAGGCAGCUUACUAGGCCAUAACUGACGCUCAGGCACGAAGGCGUGGGGAUCAAAC
rnacentral:rRNA from 1 species